rnacentral:ncRNA from 1 species
GUCGGGAGGGCGGUGAAUAUAAUACCCCUUGUGGGGAAUAAACCCGCGGUUCCUUUAUGGCCGUUUCGAACCUCCCGACACCCCUAC